rnacentral:rRNA from 1 species
UGAUCCAGCCAUGCCGCGUGUGUGAAGAAGGUCUUCGGAUUGUAAAGCACUUUAAGUUGGGAGGAAGGGCAGUAAGUUAAUAUCUUGCUGUUUUGACGUUACCGACAGAAUAAGCACCGGCUAACUCUGUGCCAGCAGCCGCGGUAAU